CUAUCUGGUUGGUAUGUCGUCGGUUUCCCUCGGGCCUCCGAUAAGAUGUAUGGUCUCCGAUUUCCACUAUGGCAAUGGGUAUGCCGCGGAUCACAAGGUGUAUUAUCAAGAGAGAAAGCAGCUCAGAAGACCAAACCUGCUGAAACCUGGACGCGGUACUGACCAUGAGGCAUCAGACAGUAGAUGGACGACAAGCCGGGCCCCUAAAGGGCUACAGACUUAAAACAGAAAUAACUUCUUGAACCUUUGCUACCACGAGGAGG
rnacentral:lncRNA from 1 species